rnacentral:rRNA from 1 species
CGUAGGGGGCGAGCGUUGUCCGGAUUUAUUGGGCGUAAAGAGCUCGUAGGCGGUUCGAUAAGUCGGGCGUGAAAACUCUGGGCUCAACCCAGAGACGCCACUCGAUACUGUUGUGACUUGAGUCCGGUAGGGGAGUAUGGAAUUCCCGGUGUAGCGGUGAAAUGCGCAGAUAUCGGGAGGAACACCAGUGGCGAAGGCGGUACUCUGGGCCGGAACUGACGCUGAGGAGCGAAAGCGUGGGUAGCGAACAGGAUUAGAUACCCUGGUAGUCCACGCCGUAAACGUUGGGCACUAGGUGUGGGUCUCAACCAACGGGAUCCGUGCCGCAGCUAACGCAUUAAGUGCCCCGCCUGGGGAGUACGGCCGCAAGGCUA